GGUGCGCGUGGGGCAUACUGGGACUUGUAGUUUCCCUCUGAGGGCUCCUGAUUGGUUGGGAGAGUUCAGCGCCUAGAGUCCUGCGCCCGCUGGGGAACCUCCUCCCAGCCUAAUGGUGGAGACUGGGUACCCAGUACCGUGUUCAGGCUGCUGUGGUUCAUACGUACUGAAACCCCAGAGUAGGGGAGGCCUUCGCCAUGGCAAUGCCUGAAGAGUACUUUGAAUUACAGAUAUCUGUACAGGCCCUGUUAAAAAUGCCACUCUUCAGGGCAUUUCGUGUUUUCCGUUAAGGGCUCCUGGGACUUGUAAAUUCAGUUCAACUCACCUUCUGGAGAAUGGUCCCUGCCCAGAGGAAGUCUGAGCCAUAAGCUGCGACGGGACCUAACUUCGGUGCCCCUUCAAUGUGGAACAUGUGGUCAUCAAAGAAGAUGUGGGGCCGGAUCUUCACCAAGAUGGGACUUUUGGGGGCUCCAGCAAGGAAAAGAGCUUCGUCUAUCUCUAGACCCCAGCGUCGAAGGGUCUUCAGUACACGGGCGCCUGAACUGGCUGCACUCCUAGCUGUAACCAGCCAUCAUCCAUGGAAAGUCAAGAUUAGCCUCCUGGAUGGAUUUGUGCGUAGAGCCUCUCCUCCAAACCAGAAAAGCCACUGUGUACCUGCUUGCCCUAUUAGCAUACCAUGUGCCCAGGAGUAGACAGGUAAUUGUGGGACCAGAGACAGAUUAACCCAUCACCUAAGGUGAGGCAGCUGAGCUGGGAAAACCAGAAGUCUAUUUAAUUUCCUGGUUACUUUUAUAGUGAUUGAAACUAAAAGCUAUUUAUUUAUUAUGUAAGAGAUAGGCUCUCAUUCUGUCACCAGGCUGGAGUUCAGUGGCACAGUCAUAGCUGCCUGCAGCUUUGAACUCCUGGGGCUCAAGCAGUCCUCUUGCCUCAGCCCUCCCGAUAGCUAGGACUGCAAAUGGGUGCCACUAUGGCUGGCUAAUUUAAAAAAAAACUAAAUAAAACGAUGUGCUUGGGAAUGUGAAGAGUGUGUGUGGGUUGAAAAUGAAUCUUCCUUCCAGUGAACAGCAAUUUAAUACAACUGAAACUUCUGACAUUUUCUAGCUGACAUUGAUAGCUGUCUGGUCCGUCCAGAUGAUGGGUAACAGACUACUUGAAGUGAAAAUUCCAAAUGAGCUAUGGGCGGUGAGCAAAUUUUUGCCUAGUCGUGCUGAGUGUCUUGCAGUGUAAUGCUGUUUUGGCAUCGUGGGCUUAGUAAUCAGCUGAGGUUCUCAGUGUACCUUAGGUGGUGCAGUCCCAGGAUGCAGGGGUACAACACAAAGCAAAAAGCACUUUGAAUGGGAUGGGGCAGGUGCUGGUAAUGAAGGAGAGUGCCGCUCUUCAUUGUAUCCUGAGUUCUAUGACAAGACUAUCAACAACCAUAUAAGAUUGAUAUGAAUAUUAAAUGAGAGAAUAUAAUAUGCUCAGCUGGAAGGAAAGAUAAGGGCUUCUCUGUAAUAUGUACCUGUUAUUUUGCAAAGUCUGGUCACCAUAAUACAGGGAAAGAAAUCCUUACCUUUUCUAGUUGAACAUCUCAUAUGUUAGUUAAUCCUCAUAUCAAUUUCAUACAGUGGUAUUAUUUCUAGAACACAGAAAGAGAAAUUGAGGCACAGAGUGUUUAGAUAAGUUGCUCAAAGUCAUGCAAGCACACUGUGAAAGAGCUGAGAUUUGUGUAAGUUCUGUCUAAUGCCAAAAGUGAUACCUUCCACUCUGUGAUACCUUCCAUUUCUCUGCCCUUUCCUGUCCCCCAAUUUGGCUCUUGGCUCCUUUGCUCUUGCUGUAACUUGCUCCUCAUGCCUAAAAGGCCCUUUCCCUUCCUCUUCUCUCAACAUGUUCUCAACAAGAAAACAUGCCAGCUUUCCUGUUGACAACUCAUCAUAAGAGGAAUAAUCUCUUUUAGCGCUGUUGUACUGCCUGCUUGCCACACACCAGUGAGUCCCCAUAAUCUUUGGGGAGGACAUUUAAUUUUUGAACGUUCACUGCCCUUAAUUUUGACUUCUGGUUGCAUUUUUAGUAUUCUUUUCCGGUGGACUGCCUCGUGACCUGUGAAACAUCAGCAUCCAAUCACUCUAAAUUGCGCAAAUGCCCCCAUGUUUUUUUCUGGUCUGUAUCUAUGCUAGCCCUGAUGUUGGUAUAGUUCCCAGAGGGUCUUUUACAACCUCUUUUAGAAAGUUUUCAUUGACAGCCUCAGGCUAGGUUCAUGCUAUUCCUUUCUGUUCCCUUAACACUGCAUAGUUUAUUCUGUCAAAGGAUUUUUUGAUUCUCUAGUGACUUUUUCAAUUUACUCAUCUAAUUUUCCAAUUAUAUUACAAGUAUCUUGAAAGCAGGAGCUAUAACCAACUCAGUUUGUUAUCUAUAGUGCUUGGCAUAUGAACAGGCUAAUAAUAGGAAUGCAGUAAAUGCUUAAAAAUAAUGUGACUUGAAUGUACUAAUUUCUUUAACAAGAUGUAGAGAGGACCUAUGAUGUGCAAAGCCCUAUGCUAGACUUUAAGAAUGCUGAAACCAAAAACAUAGUCACUGCUCUUAAGUGGCUCACAGAUAGUAGAGAAGCUGAUAUUUAAACAGAUAUUUGGGGCAAUGUCCCAUGGGCUAAUGUAAGUGAAUGUUUGCUAUUGUGGGAACUCAGAGGAAAAUGCCUAGGAAAUGAGGAAAGCUUUUUUCUCUUUAGUUUAUAGAAGACAUUCUAUUCCAUAGUCCUGAAGAGCCUCUUUUGCACUUAGAUGGAAAUUAACAAGUUAUUACCUAGUGUUUGAUAUUGUUUGUUCUCACACCAAUCUUCUUGAGUACAAAUCUUAGUAUGUGAUCUUGGGUAAAAUGUACUUUCUCUGUGCCACAGAUUCCUCAUUUGUAAAACAGGAGUAAUACACUGCCGGGACCAUCCGGUCCACCAAGCAGGGCAGGGGCUGGGGGUUGUGCUGCUGGGUUUCUUUCUCUGGGUUUUCAGUUGGAAUGUGACUGGGCCAUGCUUGUUUUGUGUUUAAACGCUAUACUUAAUACAAGAAGAAACUAUUUUUUUAACACUGUAUAUUUAUAAAAACAGAUCAUAUACUGUGUAUACAAAAAUCUCAAGAUGGUAGAGACAUGUAUGAAUGUACUAAGUAGCACUAAGUAUUCCACCAUGCUUAUUCGUAAGGUAGUUUUUAUUACAAAACUCACAGUAGGUACUUACAAAUGUACCCUGUUUCUUUCCAACUGUGAAAACGGUGUCACUGCUUUCUGGUUCAGUCCCUGCAGAUCCUUCUCAACCCUUUUCCUAUAGGUAAUUUUCUUCUGCAUCCUUCCCCCUACCUCCUACAUAAAUAAAGGAAUCAGCAAACCCAAAAUCAAUAUGGAUAAUAAAUGUAUAUGUCUCCUACAUAGGAUUGUAAGGAUGAAAUGUGGAUAUCUUGAUAUCUUUGAAUGAUGUCUUGCAUUCAAUAAAUGCUAGCUUUGUUAGUCUUUUUAUUACAAUAAUUACUGUUGUCCUCAGCAAACCAGCCAACUCUAUAAUUCUGAAAUAGUCCCUUUCAAUGACAUGAAAAUAUAGAGUAGCAGCUCCAGCCCUAUAUUUAUGUUCAUGCUUGUGCCAUAGACAUUUGUGAUGGGGGCACACACAGUGAGAAAGAGACACAGAUUCUGUUUGCAUUCCUUGAGAGAGCAAGCAUUUUUAAGAGCUGGAAACUGAGAGUAUAAACAACAAAGGUAUUCUUGAAUUUCUUGCUCAAAGUCCUGAAGAGACUUCUUAAAUUUUGAGAGCUGGAAAGAGGAGGAAAUAUUUAUUCUUUGCAACCUAAUAGCAGGAGAACUGUCAUGCUACAAUUCACCUUUCUCAACUAGAUGAGAAAAACAGGCUCAAAUGCUUUCCAAUGUCUUGAAUGUUUACUGAGAGAUGUGAAACUGGGAGAGUCCCCUGGUCCCUGUUUGUAGCCUCAUUAUGCUUUCUCCUGGAAUGUUCUGAAUUCCUCUUGCACUUACAGAGAUUGGUGGAUACAGCCUUGGCUCAUCACAGCCAAUUCCAGCACACAUCUCCCUCUGGGACUUUUCACUAGCUCCUGAACAAAUGGCACAUCCCAGGUGUAAUUUUACAACCUCUUCUUCCAUCCUCCCCCACCUCCACAUUCAAGUCUUGAAAAUUACAUUUUCUAGUCUUCAAUUAACUCCCAAAUUUAGACUUCCUCUACCUUUUGCUUUAUAUCUCCCAAGGUUGCAAAUGUAUUUCAUUCCAACACUGAAACAAUUUGAAAUAACUAGCAUAUCUUACCUGGAGAGAAAGGGCUCUUGGUAGCAAUCUCCCUGUGGUCUAUCCAACUAUUUCUAGUUUCUUCUUGAUUUAGAGUCUGUCAUUGUGAAUGGGGACCCACUGUUCUCAGGAAGAAAUCUGAUAUUCUCAAGUAGCCCUAGACACCUUCACUGGCUGCCUCCCUUUUCUUUCUCUAUUCUCGUCCCACAACCUCUGAGGACUAACCUCACACAUUUCCCCCAUGCUACUUGGCCUAGGGCUUGCUUCGCUCCUCCAUGCUGACCUCUCUUUCCCCGCUCCUGGUAACCUCAAGAUGUUAAAUGCUGCAGUAUCUCUGGCUCGGGCUCCUUUUCUGGCCCCAGAUUCUUUCAUUCUCCCUCUAAGACACUGAAGAAGAAGGAAUGUUCAUUUAUAAUGCCUAAUUUCUUUAACUUUUUCUUCCAGGCUCCUUCAGAUGACAUUUUUGCUCAUGUUGCCUUAAAAAUGAAAUGACCUUUUCUCAAUUGCCCUAAAAGAUGUGGCAUUUCCCCAGAAUUAGAUGAGAUUAGAUCCUUAGGUUGUUGCAUUGGAUGAGAAAUAGUUUUAACAAAGUUGGUGAUGGGUUGUAUAUCAAAACAGAGAAGUGGGAGGCACUCGCUGCUUUGGAGACAGUAUCCUCCUUCCACAAUGGAAUUUUUGGCACGAUCUUCAAGUUCUUGAGUUUCUUUUUCUCUUUCCUUCCCAGAACUGCAGGAAAGAGUAAUUUUAUAUUAUUUAGGCUUCUCAUCACCACUACUUUAUUGUCCUACACACUUUGUAACAUGCUGUAGGUGAAACCUGAAUAUCAUACAAGGCUUCAGAAUCAGGAAAAUGUGUUCAAUGACGAUUCUAAUUCCUCUGGCCCAGAUAUUAAAUCAUGUUAUUAAUAGUAUCUUGUAUUUGGUGUGCUUUUUUAUUUCUCCAGUAUACUUUCAGACACAUUCUUAUUUGAUUUCAAAAGUUGCUUUACCUAAUUUCUGUUCAGGAGUUGUCUUCUGAUUGAGUGGCUACAAUGUGGUCAGAGGGACGUAUGCCUCCACCUACCAAUGUGAAAAAUAAAAACCAACAGACACAAGACACUUAGGUACACAGUGAUUUUUGGACUAAGUACUAGGAAUACAAACCCAAAUAGACCUAGUUCCUUCUUUCAAUGAACUUGCAUGCUGGGCUAUACUCAGAAUACUUGGGACCCACUUCUGUUGAGUUUAUAGAAAUGUGUGUGAAUGCAAGGCUGGAUUAUUAAAAAAUUUCUCACUUAUAAAAUGAUUUUUAUAAAAUGUCUCACUUAUGUUUCUUCCUUUUAUAAUAAUAUAAAUCACAUACUUUGUAAGACACUAAAAAUAUUUUAUAAACAAUUUUUGAAACCAAAUAUAAAUGUGAUCGUUCAUUUUACAGUAAAAUUCACAACCAGGUUAUGAGGAAUUAAGAGACUUUUGACAGAUAGUCUGGAUGUUGGGAUGUGAAUAUAUAUAAAUAAAUAUAUCUACAUGUAUAAAUUUAUAUAAAUACACACAUACAUAUAGAUAUAUUUCAGGAUAAACAUGAUAUGUAAUAAAUUUUGUUUGAAUAUUUUGCUCUCUUUGUAGAUAAAUAAGUAAAGUUUUGUUUAUCCUAGUAAAGGAGUACUUCCUAACAGGAUUCUAUUCAUUGCAAUGAUAGGGGACUAGUAAUUCUAAGCCGGAGAACUGGUGUGUCUACUGUUAUCACUUAUCACAAAGACCUUAGUGUAGGAUGUACUCCUGGGAGAAGGCUCAUAGGGAGAGAGAUUUUUGUGAUGGAGUAAUCCAGAUGUUUGAACAGCUGUAUUAGUAGAGUUGUUUGGACAAUUUUACACAAUAAUAUUUUGUGAUAAAGUUUUGGUAUGUGAAAUGGCCAUUGUUUCUCAAAGUUCUUUUACUCAGAAACAGAACAUGAAUUUGUAGCGGGUCACAAUUUCAUUGAGAAAAUGAAAUAUUUCCUUCUGAGAUGUUACACUAAAACACAAAUGGCUUUUGCUCCAUCCUAGACAUUCAUGUGAAACAAAGCAUUCUGCUAAGAAGAAACCCAUAAGGGCUUUUUAAAAUAGGAUACACUUUGAUUAUGAUCCAAGGAAGAACUGAUAGUGAGAGAUUAAAACAUUUCCAGGGAAAUUUAUAGCUUCCUGCAUUUCUAAGGUUACUUUGUGUCUUAAUGGUCAGGCAUAAUUUAUAUUUUCCAUGGCAGAAAGAUGCAUGGUCAGAGAUUUUCUCUGCUACUCAGAAUCUUGGUUGAUUUAAGAGAGGAGAUGCUAUCUCAUGAAGUACCAAAUGGAGCCAAGACUUGUACACUUCACACAACAGCCAAGUCUGUCUGUAUAUGUUGACACAUUUUAUAGACAGUACUUUUCUGAGAUCUUGAUCAAGAUCAGAAUAAAAAUACAAAUAAUAA